rnacentral:rRNA from 1 species
AUUGAACGCUGGCGGCAUGCUUUACACAUGCAAGUCGAACGGUAACAUGAAGAAGCUUGCUUCUUUGAUGACGAGUGGCGAACGGGUGAGUAAUGUAUCGGAACGUGCCCAGUAGUGGGGGAUAACUACUCGAAAGAGUGGCUAAUACCGCAUGAGAUCUCUGGAUGAAAGUGGGGGACCGCAAGGCCUCACGCUACUGGAGCGGCCGAUAUCAGAUUAGGUAGUUGGUGGGGUAAAGGCCCACCAAGCCUGCGAUCUGUAGCUGGUCUGAGAGGACGACCAGCCACACUGGGACUGAGACACGGCCCAGACUCCUACGGGAGGCAGCAGUGGGGAAUUUUGGACAAUGGGCGCAAGCCUGAUCCAGCAAUGCCACGUGCAGGACGAAGGCCUUCGGGUUGUAAACUGCUUUUGUACAGAACGAAAAGGCUCUGGUUAAUACCCGGGGCUCAUGACGGUACUGUAAGAAUAAGCACCGGCUAACUACGUGCCAGCAGCCGCAGUAAAAC